GCCUUCAUUGGAAUAGUUUGGUACAUUUGCAGCUGCGGAAGAAUAGUUAUUUGAUUCUUGCAGCAGAACCUCUGAGAGUGACACAUGCAAAGAUAUUGCAGAAAAUGUGUGCACCGUGAAAACUUGAACCACUGAGCCACAUAUACGCACAGCCUCAGCAUUGCAUCCUGCCUCUUCUCAUCAUGCUCACUUAAUGCUUUCCUGGACUCUGCCACUGAAUGCCUCCAUGCAUUCAGCUGGGCCCUAUCAGUGUGGAAGAACUGCAUGAGCUCG